rnacentral:rRNA from 1 species
AUUGAACGCUGGCGGCAUGCUUUACACAUGCAAGUCGAGCGGCAGCGCGGGGGCAACCCUGGCGGCGAGCGGCGAACGGGUGAGUAAUGCAUCGGAACGUGUCCUGGAGUGGGGGAUAACCCGGCGAAAGCCGGGCUAAUACCGCAUACGCUCUAUGGAGGAAAGCGGGGGACUCGCAAGGGCCUCGCGCUCGAGGAGCGGCCGAUGUCCGAUUAGCUAGUUGGUGGGGUAAUGGCUUACCAAGGCGACGAUCGGUAGCUGGUCUGAGAGGAUGAUCAGCCACACUGGGACUGAGACACGGCCCAGACUCCUACGGGAGGCAGCAGUGGGGAAUUUUGGACAAUGGGGGCAACCCUGAUCCAGCCAUGCCGCGUGCGGGAAGAAGGCCUCGGUUGUAACGCUUUAGUCGGACGAAAGGUACGCGGAGUAACACCUAGCGAUUUUGUACGGUACCGGUCGGAAGUAAGACACCGGCUAACUACGUAGCCACGCAGCCGCGGUAACUAGU